rnacentral:rRNA from 1 species
UUUUCAGAGAUGAGAAUGUGCCUUCGGGAACCGUGAGACAGGUGCUGCAUGGCUGUCGUCAGCUCGUGUUGUGAAAUGUUGGGUUAAGUCCCGCAACGAGCGCAACCCUUAUCCUUUGUUGCCAGCGGUCCGGCCGGGAACUCAAAGGAGACUGCCAGUGAUAAACUGGAGGAAGGUGGGGAUGACGUCAAGUCAUCAUGGCCCUUACGACCAGGGCUACACACGUGCUACAAUGGCGCAUACAAAGAGAAGCGACCUCGCGAGAGCAAGCGGACCUCAUAAAGUGCGUCGUAGUCCGGAUUGGAGUCUGCAACUCGACUCCAUGAAGUCGGAAUCGCUAGUAAUCGUGGAUCAGAAUGCCACGGUGAAUACGUUCCCGGGCCUUGUACACACCGCCCGUCACACCAUGGGAGUGGGUUGCAAAAGAAGUAGGUAGCUUAACC